rnacentral:rRNA from 1 species
GAAGGCUCAUUAAGUCCGUCAGGGACGAGGCAGCAGUAGAGAAUAUUGUGCAAUAUACGGCAGUAUGACACAGAGAGCACACGCCCUCUUGGCCUGUCCAACUAAGUGCCAGCAGACGCGGUUAGACUUAGGGGCCAAGCCUUUAUGAGCAAAGGGGCGUAAAGGGUGUGUAGGCCGACCGCCCCACCCCCCCAAGGUGGUAAAUGGAAUUUUUCUGUAGCGGUAGAAUGUGCGGAUAGAAAAUAGAACCCCAAAAGCUGAAGCAAUUUACCGCGGGGCGGGAGGGGGGGGCCCCCUGGGGCGCCCCCCCGGGCUACGGGCUGAAACACGAGGGUGUGGGGAACAAACAGGAUUAGAGACCCUGGUAGUCCACACUGUAAACGAUGGAGAAAAUGCGAAUGCAGCCCCGAAAGGCAGCAAUCUCCCGCCUGAGUAGUACGAUCGCAAGAUUAAAAUUCCAAAAAUUUGGCUGUUCACCGUUUCGAUUAGAGGAGCGUGUAGUUUAAUUCGAUAAACCGCGAGAUACCUUACCCAAACUUGAAUCCUUGAGGAUUCCAAGGAAUCCUUAUGGACCGGUAUUGCAUGGCCGUCGUCAGUUCGUGUAUGAAACCUUAAACGGACCCAACCCGAGGAUUAGCCGCGGAUGAAGUCAGGUCUUAUGGUCCCAAUGUUUGGGGAUAAUAUGCGCUACAUUUUCUUAUACAAUGGGAAACCUGGGAGGUGAAACCCAAAAGUGAGAGUUCGGUAGGCUAUUGGAAGAUGGCCGAAAGUUGAAUUUAAUAGUAAUCGGAAAGUAUAGCGUUCCGGUGAAAUGAUCUAGGUGUUAGCACAAAUCGCCCGUCACCUUAACUUAGGAUGAUGGUUCGGACGCCGCCGCGCCCCCCCGGGCCCCGGCGGUUACGGGCCCCUACGAAGUUAAGCAA